GAUGAACGCUGGCGGCGUGCCUAAUACAUGCAAGUAGAACGCUGAAGCUUGGUGCUUGCACCGAGCGGAUGAGUUGCGAACGGGUGAGUAACGCGUAGGUAACCUGCCUCUUAGCGGGGGAUAACUAUUGGAAACGAUAGCUAAUACCGCAUAAAAGUCGAUAUCGCAUGAUAUUGAUUUGAAAGGUGCAAUUGCAUCACUAAGAGAUGGACCUGCGUUGUAUUAGCUAGUUGGUGAGGUAACGGCUCACCAAGGCGACGAUACAUAGCCGACCUGAGAGGGUGAUCGGCCACACUGGGACUGAGACACGGCCCAGACUCCUACGGGAGGCAGCAGUAGGGAAUCUUCGGCAAUGGGGGCAACCCUGACCGAGCAACGCCGCGUGAGUGAAGAAGGUUUUCGGAUCGUAAAGCUCUGUUGUAAGAGAAGAACGAGUGUGAGAGUGGAAAGUUCACACUGUGACGGUAACUUACCAGAAAGGGACGGCUAACUACGUGCCAGCAGCCGCGGUAAUACGUAGGUCCCGAGCGUUAUCCGGAUUUAUUGGGCGUAAAGCGAGCGCAGGCGGUUAGAUAAGUCUGAAGUUAAAGGCUGUGGCUUACCCAUAGUACGCUUUGGAAACUGUUUAACUUGAGUGCAAGAGGGGAGAGUGGAAUUCCAUGUGUAGCGGUGAAAUGCGUAGAUAUAUGGAGGGACACCGGUGGCGAAAGCGGCUCUCUGGCUUGUAACUGACGCUGAGGCUCGAAAGCGUGGGGAGCAAACAGG
rnacentral:rRNA from 1 species